CUUGUACUCCCUCUGUUCGGAAUUACUUGUCUCGGAAAUGGAUGUAUCUAGAACUAAAAUACAUCUAGAUACAUCCAUUUUCGCGACAAGUAAUUCCGAACGGAGGGAGUAUAUU
rnacentral:pre_miRNA from 1 species